GGGAGUAUAGCUCAAGUGGUAGAGUGCGUGACUUAGCAUACACGAAGUCCUGGGUUCAAUCCCCAGUACCUCCU
rnacentral:tRNA from 1 species